GAAACAGCAACAAAUCGACGCACAUUCUCAUCCGCAUAAGAUCACGCUGUAGAAUUAAAAAAAACACAAUCCGAAAAUGAUUAAACGAAGAUUGAUAGGUUUUAGAGGUACCAGUGAUGUUUUCUCUCUCUAGAAAAAAAAACUUUUUCUCGCUCUAACUUCUCUGUAAGCGAAAUGUUCAACUGAAUGGAAGUGGUGCAAGUUCAACUAGUGCUUCAGAG
rnacentral:misc_RNA from 1 species